GCGUUGGUAGUGCAUCGGUUCAGUACGCGCUUCUCGAAAGACUGAAUUCUGGGUUCGAGUCCCAGUUGAAGCA